rnacentral:rRNA from 1 species
GUCGAGCGGUAACAGGAGAAGCUUGCUUCUCGCUGACGAGCGGCGGACGGGUGAGUAAUACUUAGGAAUCUACCUAGUAGUGGGGGAUAGCUCGGGGAAACUCGAAUUAAUACCGCAUACGACCUACGGGAGAAAGGGGGCAACUUGUUGCUCUCGCUAUUAGAUGAGCCUAAGUCGGAUUAGCUAGAUGGUGGGGUAAAGGCCUACCAUGGCGACGAUCUGUAGCUGGUCUGAGAGGAUGAUCAGCCACACCGGGACUGAGACACGGCCCGGACUCCUACGGGAGGCAGCAGUGGGGAAUAUUGGACAAUGGGGGCAACCCUGAUCCAGCCAUGCCGCGUGUGUGAAGAAGGCCUUUUGGUUGUAAAGCACUUUAAGCAGUGAAGAAGACUCCAUGGUUAAUACCCAUGGACGAUGACAUUAGCUGCAGAAUAAGCACCGGCUAACUCUGUGCCAGCAGCCGCGGUAAUACAGAGGGUGCAAGCGUUAAUCGGAAUUACUGGGCGUAAAGCGAGCGUAGGUGGCUUGAUAAGUCAGAUGUGAAAGCCCCGGGCUUAACCUGGGAACGGCAUCUGAUACUGUUAGGCUAGAGUAGGUGAGAGGAAGGUAGAAUUCCAGGUGUAGCGGUGAAAUGCGUAGAGAUCUGGAGGAAUACCGAUGGCGAAAGCAGCCUUCUGGCAUCAUACUGACACUGAGGUUCGAAAGCGUGGGUAGCAAACAGGAUUAGAUACCCUGGUAGUCCACGCCGUAAACGAUGUCUACUAGUCGUUGGGUCC